CUCUUCCUCUCUCUCUGCUGCGUCCUUCUGCCGUCCCUCUGCUUGUCUCCUCAUCUGCUGGUCUGCUCCUGGAGCCUGGGGUUUGGGGUUCAUAUGGGUACAGGUUAGGGAACAUGGCAGGCCAAAAGGCAACUUCUUGGGUGUGAAAACAAGAAUGCCUGUCCUCAUUUAGGGUCACAGGUCUUCAGGCUUGAGGGUGGGGCUCUUGCCAGAAAACCCCACUCUUCUACCUAGUAUUUCUCUGUCUCCUGUCUAUAUCACCUGUAAGAUGCUAGAUGGGUUUUUACAAAGCAUAGGAGCAUCAUUCAAAAGGAUUUUCAGGCAUGUUAAUGAAAUACCAAUAAAGCCAUUGAGACAGAAAUGCAGUUAAGUGAUUCAGGUCUGGAAACCGAAUUUCUGACAAAGGGAAGCUUGUUUAACAGGGUGAUGGCAUUUUUCACUUCCAAACUGUGGACAGCUGUACAGUCUGAAGUGCUCAGGAUAGACUCCGUCAAGCUGAAAGGCAGGAAUCAAGUUUCCCUAAGCCAGGUUGUUGGAGCCCUUUACCUCCUUGGCCAGCCUUUUUAAACUGAAAAAUCAGUUUUAAUUAAAAAAUCAGUUCCAGUGGUUCUCCCAUGCUCAAUAAAAGCAUCUGCACACUCUAACUUUCUUUCAAAUACCUUGCCACUUUUACUCCAGACAGAGCCAACAUAAAAGCUGAGAGAUAAAUCAAAUUUCUUGUCAGAAUAUCAGGUAGGCUGGGGACUGCUGGGGAAAAAAAGGAACCUGCUGUGGACUUCAAUGGCUCGAGAAUUGGCAAAAACAUGUGAAAUGAUUCCUGAAGAGCGCAGAAGACAAGAGAAUGAUCAGAAGAGCAGAAUAAUGGCAGGAACAGCACAGCAGACAGAAGAGAAGGAGCGUCUACACACCGAGAGGAAUUUGACUGAGGACAGUUGGAGAGGAGAUCAGCCACUGGACUGCCAAACUGCAGGGGAAGAUCAUCUUCUCACUCCAUCCCCCUUGCAACUCCCUACCCAUCCUACUAAAAGCCACCUCCACCUUUCAAU
rnacentral:lncRNA from 1 species